GACCGGUUAUGUCGGAUGGUUCCGGCCGCGGGCUUCAAACCUGUCGGACAAACAAUAAAAUGUUUGCUUGUCAGUUCGAUUCUGAAACCGGUC
rnacentral:tRNA from 1 species